GAUGAACGCUGGCGGCGUGCCUAAUACAUGCAAGUCGAGCGAACAGAUAAGGAGCUUGCUCCUUUGAAGUUAGCGGCGGACGGGUGAGUAACACGUGGGUAACCUACCUAUAAGACUGGGAUAACUUCGGGAAACCGGAGCUAAUACCGGAUAACAUUUAGAACCGCAUGGUUCUAAAGUGAAAGAUGGUUUUGCUAUCACUUAUAGAUGGACCCUCGCCGUAUUAGCUAGUUGGUAAGGUAACGGCUUACCAAGGCGACGAUACGUAGCCGACCUGAGAGGGUGAUCGGCCACACUGGAACUGAGACACGGUCCAGACUCCUACGGGAGGCAGCAGUAGGGAAUCUUCCGCAAUGGGCGAAAGCCUGACGGAGCAACGCCGCGUGAGUGAUGAAGGGUUUCGGAUCGUAAAACUCUGUUAUUAGGGAAGAACAAAUGUGUAAGUAACUGUGCACAUCUUGACGGUACCUAAUCAGAAAGCCACGGCUAACUACGUG
rnacentral:rRNA from 1 species